UACGAAGGGGGCUAGCGUUGCUCGGAAUCACUGGGCGUAAAGGGUGCGUAGGCGGGUCUUUAAGUCAGGGGGGAAAUCCUGGAGCUCAACUCCAGAACUGCCUUUGAUACUGAAGAUCUUGAGUUCGGGAGAGGUGAGUGGAACUGCGAGUGUAGAGGUGAAAUUCGUAGAUAUUCGCAAGAACACCAGUGGCGAAGGCGGUUCUCUGGGACGGUACUGACGCUGAGACGCGAAAGCGUGGGGAGCGAACAGG
rnacentral:rRNA from 1 species